GUUGCAGGGGGUGGACAUGUUUGGGCAGCGCGUGGGGUUCCUCAAGUUCAAAGCCGACAUCGUCGACGAGGAAACCAAAGCCAAGAUUCCAGGGAUUGUCUUUGCAAGAGGGCCUGCUGUUGCUGUGUUGAUUCUUUUGGAGUCCAAAGGGCAAACUUAUGUUGUUCUCACUGAACAGGUAUAUAUAUUACUGUGAUUUGCAGUGAAUUGUUGCAUAUGCGAAUAGUAAUAUUGUGUAGCUUGAUUAUUUGUAUUCAACUAUGCGAUGCAUGAGGAUAAACGGGUUGUUGCCCACAGCACGCUGCGGCGACGUCUUCUUCUCCUCUCUUCGCGGGUGCUCGCCGGUCCACGCUGCCACCCAUCAAUGUUGACAAGUCACCAUCUAAAAGGUUGUCAGAGGAGAAACUGCUGGUUUCGAACGCUAGCAAGCUCCUGGCAUGGACAAGACAGAAGUGGGAAGGCUAUUGCUGCUCCAUGCUCCCGGCUUGACUUAAAUAUAUGGACCUGAUUAUCUUGUUUCUGUGCCGAUUUACUUGUUUCUGUCUUACUUUGCCUAGUGUUCGAACCAGUUGGUCUGUUAGAUUUUGAAUGGCAAGUCAAUAGACUCCGUUGCUCCAUCUGUACAUCAUUCUAUUUGUGUUCGUUGUAGUGGUAAUUAUGGCUUUAAUAGUUAUUGAAGAUUGCACCUGUAAAUCUAGAUCUACUUGGAUCCUGGUGGCUUCUUUUGCCAAGCAAUAUCAUGUGCUUAUUAGUUGCAAGCUGUAUUGGUUUGCUCUGCUGCCAUGUUAAUUUUGCAACAUAUUUGGUUUUGUCUGAUUAAAAAAUUGGUCAUGCUCACGAGCAGUAUAUAUGCACUUGGUUGGUUCGUUGUUGGCAGUUUAGCUACACAAACUGACUGACAUUGCACAAUAAAAUGUAGCAGAUUUGCUAGCAAUCCUUCUUUCUCUCGUAUAGAAGUACAUGCUAUCUAACGUGAGCAAAAUCAUUGCGUAACUACAGGUACAUCAUAUGACUAAUUUACACAGAAUACUGAUACUCGACCCCAUGCAUUCAGUUUCAGAACUUGAAACUAAUUAACCUGUGGAAACUAACCUGACUAGUAGCUUCUCUGGCUUCCAGUUUACAACUUCUAGGAUAUCAAUCAUUCAUUCUCAAGUUGCUGCUGGCAGCUACAAGUCUCCUUUUUCUGGAAUUUUCAUGUUCUUUUUUUGUGUGUAUAUGCCUUCCUCUUUGAUUUCGAGCUUGUGAUUGAGGUCAAUUGAUGGUGGUGGUUGUCCGAUGCAGAUGUUCGGGAUGGUGGAGAAGGAGAUGGAGUACCGGGUCGAGCUUUUCAGCCGGUGAGUGAUGAGCCUUCUAGCUGCUGUACUACCACCAGUCCACCACCUGGGUGGGGCUUGUGAGAUCAGAUCGCUUGUGAGAUCAGAUCGCUGGUUGAUGCAAUGAAUUGUGGUUAUUGCAGGCAAAUUUGGGGCUGAGGAAAGAAGACGAGGAGCAACUUCUCUCUGGUCUGGUCGUUGGAACUUCAGGACAAGGUGAAGGUUUUCAAAUGUUGAAGGAGGAGGACAAUAGGAACUUCUGUGAUGUCUUGUCAUCUAUUUUCUUUUCUUUGUUGUAGAAUAGUUCUGUUUGGCACUUACUGGUUGGAUGUAAAGAUAUGUACUGCUAGAAUGAAUGCAUGUAAAGAUAUUUUGGGCUCCUAUAAUAUUUCAUGUUGCUUUGAAAAUGUAUCGGAACUGGGCUAGG